rnacentral:rRNA from 1 species
GUGGGGAAUAUUGCGCAAUGGGGGAAACCCUGACGCAGCAACGCCGCGUGAUUGAAGAAGGCUUUCGGGUUGUAAACUUCUUUGACGAGGGACGAAAAAAAUGACGGUACCUCGAAAACAAGCCACGGCUAACUACGUGCCAGCAGCCGCGGUAAUACGUAGGUGGCAAGCGUUGUCCGGUUUUACUGGGUGUAAAGGGCGUGUAGGCGGGAUUACAAGUCAGAUGUGAAAUGUAGGGGCUUAACCCCUGAGCUGCAUUUGAAACUGUAGUUCUUGAGUGAUGGAGAGGCAGGCGGAAUUCCUAGUGUAGCGGUGAAAUGCGUAGAUAUUAGGAGGAACACCAGUGGCGAAGGCGGCCUGCUGGACAUUAACUGACGCUGAGGCGCGAAAGCGUGGGGAGCAAACAGGAUUAGAUACCCCUGUAGUCC